rnacentral:rRNA from 1 species
AACGAACGCUGGCGGCAUGCCUAACACAUGCAAGUCGAACGAGACCUUCGGGUCUAGUUGCGCUCGGGUGCGUAACGCGUGGUAACUUGCCCUUAGGUUCGGUAUAACUCCCCGUAAGGGGUGCUAAUACCGGUUAAUGUCUUCGGACCAAAGAUUUAUCGCUUUUGGAUGGGCCCGCGUUGGAUUAGCUAGUUGGUAGGGUAAAAGCCUACCAAGGCGACGAUCCAUAGCUGGUCUGAGAGGAUGAUCAGCCACACUGGGACUGAGACACGGACCAGACUCCUACGGGACGUAGCAGUGGGGAAUAUUGGACAAGGGGCGAAAGCCUGAUACAGCAACGCCGCGUGAGUGAUGAAGGCCGUAGGGUUGUAAAGCUCUUUUACCCGGGAUGAUAAUGACAGUACCGGGAGAAUAAGCACCGGCUAACUACGUG